CGCGCACAAGAGUCGCACCCCACGCCUUCUCGGUCGGAGCGGAAGAUGGCCCCCCGUGCCAUAGCGCGCGGUCGGCCCAAACAAAGGCUUUGCGGCGCGCAGCUCACGAUCUGUGGUGGUCGACAGAACCCUGCCGAAACCAGAUCUCGCGCCUGCGACGCCGACGCCAUCGGAACCCAAUAGGGCCGUCUACACCGCAUCCACUCU
rnacentral:rRNA from 1 species